GGACCAGACAGACACAUUUGUAUGGAGGAG
rnacentral:piRNA from 1 species